rnacentral:rRNA from 1 species
GACGAACGCUGGCGGCGUGCUUAACACAUGCAAGUCGAACGGAAAGGCCCUGCUUUUGUGGGGUGCUCGAGUGGCGAACGGGUGAGUAACACGUGAGUAACCUGCCCUUGACUUUGGGAUAACUUCAGGAAACUGGGGCUAAUACCGGAUAGGAGCUCCUGCUGCAUGGUGGGGGUUGGAAAGUUUCGGCGGUUGGGGAUGGACUCGCGGCUUAUCAGCUUGUUGGUGGGGUAGGGGCUUACCAAGGCUUUGACGGGUGGCCGGCCUGCGAGGGUGACCGGCCCCACUGGGCCUAAGAUACGGCCCAGCCUCCUACGGGAGGCAGCAGUGGGGAAUAUUGCACAGUGGGCGGAAGCCUGAUGAAGCAACGCCGCGUGCGGGAUGACGGCCUUCGGGUUGUAACCCGCUUUCGCCUGUGACGAAGCGUGAGUGACGGUACUGGGUAAAGAAGCACCGGCUAACUACGUG